rnacentral:rRNA from 1 species
GCAGUCGACGAUGACCACUUCGGUGGGGAUUAGUGGCGAACGGGUGAGUAAACGUGGGCAAUCUGCCCUGCACUCUGGGACAAGCCCUGGAAACGGGGUCUAAUACCGGAUACAACCACUAGGGGCAUCUCUUGGUGGUGGAAAGCUCCGGCGGUGCAGGAUGAGCCCGCGGCCUAUCAGCUUGUUGGUGAGGUAAUGGCUCACCAAGGCGACGACGGGUAGCCGGCCUGAGAGGGCGACCGGCCACACUGGGACUGAGACACGGCCCAGACUCCUACGGGAGGCAGCAGUGGGGAAUAUUGCACAAUGGGCGAAAGCCUGAUGCAGCGACGCCGCGUGAGGGAUGACGGCCUUCGGGUUGUAAACCUCUUUCAGCAGGGAAGAAGCGAAAGUGACGGUACCUGCAGAAGAAGCGCCGGCUAACUACGUGCCAGCAGCCGCGGUAAUACGUAGGGCGCGAGCGUUGUCCGGAAUUAUUGGGCGUAAAGAGCUCGUAGGCGGCUUGUCACGUCGGUUGUG